UCUUCACUUGCUCUUUGCUCCAGCUACGUGUGCUUGCUGCAAUCUGCUCUUCCACUCGCUUGCUGCAACCACUUACUCGGUGCCAUCUUUGCUCCAUCUCUUACUGGUAUAUUUCUUUCUUUUUUCUAUUUGGCUGAAUUUUGAGUGUAAUUCUUUUUGUUUAGCUUGGACCCAUAUCAUGUUCAAUUCGGAAAAUUGGAUUCAAUUGGGCAAAUUGGAUGUUGCUAUGUUCAAUUAGUU
rnacentral:lncRNA from 1 species